rnacentral:rRNA from 1 species
UACGUAGGGGACGAGCGUUAUCCGGAAUUAUUGGGCGUAAAGAGCGCGCAGGUGGUUGAUUAAGUCUGAUGUGAAAGCCCACGGCUUAACCGUGGAGGGUCAUUGGAAACUGGUCGACUUGAGUGCAGAAGAGGGAAGUGGAAUUCCAUGUGUAGCGGUGAAAUGCGUAGAGAUAUGGAGGAACACCAGUGGCGAAGGCGGCUUCCUGGUCUGUAACUGACACUGAGGCGCGAAAGCGUGGGGAGCAAACAGGAUUAGAUACCCCCGUAGU